UAAGAAAUUUAGGAUAAUAUUAAACCAAGGGCCUUCAAAGCCUAAAAUAUGGACUAAACCCCAUAAUUUC
rnacentral:tRNA from 1 species